rnacentral:rRNA from 1 species
CACGGGGGGAGCAAGCGUUGUUCGGAUUUACUGGGCGUAAAGGGCGCGUAGGCGGCCUCUGCAAGUCGACUGUGAAAUCUCCGGGCUUAACCCGGAAAGGUCAGCCGAUACUGCAGGGCUAGAGUGCAGAAGGGGCAACUGGAAUUCUCGGUGUAGCGGUGAAAUGCGUAGAUAUCAGGAGGAACACCAAUGGCGAAGGCAGCUCGCUGGGACGUGACUGACGCUGAGACGCGAAAGCGUGGGGAUCAAACAGG